GGGUCAGUAGGUUGGUCGUGCCACCGGUACGUACUGGUCUCACUGAUUCCUCCUUCCUGAAGAACCGUAAUGCCAUUAAUUUGGUGUUGCGGGGAAACAGGACUGUUACUUUGAAUAAAUUAGAGUGUUUAAAGCAAGCUAACGCUUGAAUACAUUAGCAUGGAAUAAUGAAAUAGGUCGAUGGAUCCUAUUUUGUUGGUUUCUAGGAUUGACGUA
rnacentral:rRNA from 1 species